rnacentral:rRNA from 1 species
UACGUAGGGGGCAAGCGUUGUCCGGAAUUAUUGGGCGUAAAGCGCACGUAGGCGGCUUUCUAAGUCAGGGGUGAAAUCCUGGAGCUCAACUCCAGAACUGCCUUUGAUACUGGAGAGCUUGAGUCCGGAAGAGGUGAGUGGAACUCCGAGUGUAGAGGUGAAAUUCGUAGAUAUUCGGAAGAACACCAGUGGCGAAGGCGGCUCACUGGUCCGGUACUGACGCUGAUUGUGCGAAAGCGUGGGGAGCAAACA